rnacentral:rRNA from 1 species
GACGAACCGUGCGAACGUUAUUCGGAAUCACUGGGCUUAAAGCGCGUGUAGGCGGAUGACCACGUCGGUCGCUCAAAGCCCCCCGGCUCAACCGGGGGUGUGGCGCCGAUACGGGCCAUCUGGAGGGGCGUAGGGGGAGCUGGAACUCACGGUGGAGCGGUGAAAUGCGUUGAGAUCGUGAGGAACGCCCGCGGCGAAAGCGAGCUCCUGGACGCCUGCUGACGCUGAGACGCGAAAGCCAGGGGAGCGA